GACGCAAGUCUGAUGGAGCAACGCCGCGUGAGUGAAGAAGGUUUUCGGAUCGUAAAGCUCUGUUGUUGGUGAAGAAGGAUAGAGGCAGUAACUGGUCUUUAUUUGACGGUAAUCAACCAGAAAGUCACGGCUAACUACGUGCCAGCAGCCGCGGUAAU
rnacentral:rRNA from 1 species